UUCUUAUGAUGACUCUAGCACAUGUCUUAUGCCCUGUGUCUAUGCCAGAACCUGAGAAGGUGAACCCACUGGUGUUGCCAGGGCAACAAGGAGAUAACUUGUUGGGGUUACCAACUGUCUGAGGGCC